CCCAGCAGCAUCUCGAUGGGGUGACGUGAGGGGCACAGAGAACCGAGGAUUGGGUCUGAUGGGAUUAAACCCCCAACUGGUGUCCCCGUGUCUUCUCUUUGCUGACACCAGACACCAAGAAGAAACAGCCCCAGACACACCGAAAUGCCAGGCUCGUGGUCAGAGAUGACACAACAGAGAAAAGAAUUCACGGCUGGGACCAGCUAGUCCAUGACUCCACCUUCUUGCUUUCAAGCCAGUGAGGUGAUCUGAGUCCCAGCAGCCUCAUCUGCCAAGUCAACCCCUGCACUGCAUUGAGAAAGCUGCAGUCAGAGAUUCCGAGUGAAGACAAGCGCUGUCCCACGCCAGAGCCCAAACCUGUCCCCCGGUUGGGAAGCUGAGGAGUGAUUAUUUGGUUCUCGGAUGCUUCGAGGGUGCCUCAUGUGGUAUGCGGUCAGUGCACACAUCCCAGAUCUUGGCGCCAAGCCCUGACAACCACUUCACCCUGGAGGCCGUUCCCAGAGCCUAUUUCACGGCUCAUUCAGAAGGAAGAUGAGGGGCCUUUUCCAUUUCCAGUAUUAAAUGAUUUAAUUCACAAGGGACUUGGUCAACACAAGUAUCCCAACAGAGCCCAGGUCCUGUAUCAUUUGUAAUUUACCAUUCUGAUUAAACCCAACCCAACCCCAUCAAACUCCGCAUGGGGUGAACCAACCGAAACUGCCCCAGAGGCCCCAGGGGGGCAUCCGGCCCAGGGAACUGAGGCUGGGGAGGGGAGGGGGAGCUGGGAGUACAUCUGCCUCAUUUCAGGAAAUCCAGUAACCUCUUAAGAUGGAUGUUUCUGUAGAAAUACAUCUGAUAAAUGUUUAAUUACAUGUUAAGAGGGACCAUUAUUCACGGAGCAGUCAUUAGCCCCAGAGAACUUCAAGCCCCUCACCUUGUUAAGAGUCACGUUCAUAUGGAGAUCAGCCCCAAAUUCCAACAUUCCCUGCUCCAGGAGGAGAGCAGCUGGGAGAGCCUGGUGAGGUCUCCAUCAAAACAGUGUAACACAGGGCAUCAGUGGGGUGGCCAGCGGCUUGGCUGUGGGUGGGAGAUUUCAGAGAGGUGGGACCUAAGCCAGGAACCUGAAUCAAGGCGCCGAGACCUCAGCCCCACCCCGACCUACCUGUUCUAAGGGUCCCUGCAGGGCUCCGUAAUCCCUACCUGUGAGGGGCUCCCCUCCUGAAGCUCUUGAUGCUUCCCAGGCCCCCCGAAGUCCUGCGGUUCCCUGGAGAUGCUGUCGGCUCACAAGGUGCCAGGAAGAACUCUCCUGGGAUGGAAGACUUGGGUGGACCCGUCCUGGGUGACAGGCAGUGGGUGUAUCGCUCAGGGUUCUGAGGAGGCAGGUGACAGAAUCCAUUAGGUCCUGAAGCAAGGAAAAGCAGAACCAACCAGAAGGUCCCAGGAGCAGGAGUCCCAGGUCUUGGAGGGGCAGGAACUAGGGCAUCCUGGGGCUCUUGGUGGCAGGGGCAAGGGAGAAGAGCUUGCUGAGGGCCGCUUAGUAUAAGCCCAGGUGACUUAAGUCCCAGAAAAAACAAAAUGGUGGACCCUUACCCAUAGAAGGCAGCAGAGCCAGGCCAUCCCUCUGCACUCCAGGAGCCCCAGGUACCACACUACCUCUCAGCCCUGCCAGGGAACUUCUCCCUUCCUCCUUUCCCUCCCACUCCU